UGAAUAAUUCUAAUGUUUUAAAAUUUUAUUUCUGUUACAAAAUUUAGUUAAUAAAAAUGUAUUAUAUUUAUGAGUUUGCCAUGAUUGCUCUGAUUGAAUCAUGGCAAAAUACUUAUUCAGUUCUAACUGUUUAUUAAAUAAGCUUGGGUCUUUAAGGCUUGACCUUGGUGAAUGCAGUAAAAAAUAUUUAAAUAAGAUCUUAUGUGUAAAACACUUCAAUGUGCCUUUUUUAUAUUUUUUUCUUUAGGCCAACUCUCACCUGUUGGCGGAAAGUUAGCAAAAUAUGUUAAGGACUUUUAUUCAGAGAUAAUGUUGCUAAACGAUUUACAGUCGAUAAUCUUUCGAAAGCAGAAAAACUCAGUGUCAAACAAAGAAUACGCGAAUUAUUUGAGAUAUGAUUGAAAUUUGCAAAGAAAGUAAAAAUUAAACUAGUUUCAUUUUAAGUUAUUGUAUAUAAUUUUAAAAUUUUGGAAUAGAAGUGAUGCAAUGUUUAUUUA
rnacentral:lncRNA from 1 species